GACGAACGCUGGCGGCGUGCUUAACACAUGCAAGUCGAACGAAGUGGCGAACGGGUGAGUAAUACGUGAGUAACCUGCCCUCCUUUUUGGGAUAAGCCUUGGAAACGGGGUCUAAUACCGAAUAAAGGGGGAUGGGCUCGCGGCCUAUCAGCUUGUUGGUGGGGUGAUGGCCUACCAAGGCGGUGACGGCUAGCCGGCCUGAGAGGGUGACCAGCCACAUUGGGGGUGAGAUACGGCCCAGACUCCUACGGGGGGCAGCAGUGGUAGAUGUGGCACAAGGGGCGAAAGCCUGAUGCAGCGGCGCCGCGUGGGGGAUGAAGGCUUUCGGGUUGUAAACCUCUUUCGCGAUCGAACGGGUAGGUGAAGAAGAAGCGCCGGCUAACUACGUGCCAGCAGCCGCGGUAAUAC
rnacentral:rRNA from 1 species